rnacentral:rRNA from 1 species
CAACUUUCGAUGGUAGGAUAGAGGCCUACCAUGGUGGUAACGGGUAACGGGGAAUUAGGGUUCGAUUCCGGAGAGGGAGCCUGAGAAACGGCUACCACUUCCAAGGAAGGCAGCAGGCGCGCRAAAUUACCCAAUCCCGACACGGGGAGGUAGUGACAAUAAAUAACAAUACGGGGCUCUUUCGGGUCUCGUAAUUGGAAUGAGUACAAUUUAAAUCCCUUAACGAGGAACAAUUGGAGGGCAAGUCUGGUGCCAGCAGCCGCGGUAAUUCCAGCUCCAAUAGCGUAUAUUAAAGUUGUUGCAGUUAAAAAGCUCGUAGUUGAAUUUCGGGAUUGACGUGAUGGUCGUGCCUUAAGGGGUAUGAACUGUCGCAGUUGAUUUCUCACCUUCUGGAGAAGCAUGAUGUCCUUAAUUGGGUGUCAUGUGGAACCAGGACCUUUACCUUGAAAAAAUUAGAGUGUUUAAAGCAGGCAUUUUGCUCGAAUACAUUAGCAUGGAAUAAUAGAAUAGGACGGCAUGGUUCUAUUUUGUUGGUUUCUAGGAUCACCGUAAUGAUUAAUAGGGAUAGUUGGRGGGCAUUAGUAUUCAAUUGUCAGAGGUGAAAUUCUUGGAUUUAUUGAAGACUAACUACUGCGAAAGCAUUUGCCAAGGAUGUUUUCAUUAAUCAAGAACGAAAGUUAGGGGAUCGAAGACGAUCAGAUACCCGUCGUAGUUCUUAACCAURAAACUAUGCCGACUAGGAAUCAGACGAUGUUAAUUUUUUUAAUGACUCGUUUGGCACCUUACGGGAAACCAAAGUGUUUGGGUU